UAGGUUUCUAAGAGUUUAAUGAACUUAAGAGUUUUAAGAAUAUAAACUCCAUGAAGGCAAGGGAUUUUUCUGUUUUACUCAUCGCUGUUCAUUGUUGUUUUAUUCAGAGUUGUAUCUCCAGUGGCUAGUAAUGCCUGGCAUGUAUUUGAUGACUAAUGAAGCCUGAGUACAUUGUCACCUGUCAUUUACUCCUAACAGAGCCAUAAUGAGUCACGGUUGUCAAUGAAUGCUCCCUUUAAAGACAGCAAUGUUUGGGGACAGAGGGGUUCACCAAAGAGAAGUAACUCAAGAGGGCCUGAGGUCUGGAGGACUGUUGCUGGAGUAAACUGGCAUAACUGUGAUGCCCACCUCCAGACCGGACUAAUCGCAGGCAGAGAAACAGAGAGCAGGGAGGCAUGGUGAUGUCCAAGCCCAGCAGUAGAGUGGGACAUUAUCUGGAAAAGAAAGACACCCAACCCCGGAAGGCCAGCUGGGGUGCUAUUGCAAUAGUGUGGUUGACUCGAUGCGAGUUGGAAUUUGAGUUCUCCCUGGAAGCAUGGAGGAAUGUGGAUAGGAGACACCGCCAGGUUAGAACCUGCAGAUCUACACGGCUGAUGUAGGAGACGAUGGGCGAGGAGGGCAGGCCAAGGGGAGAGGAUCGCGGAUACCUCCAAGGUUUAACGGACUGGUGAUUCCACACACAGAAGCGGGGAGUCAUUUUACUUCUGGGUCCCCCCCCUUUCUUGAACUUUGUGGCACUUAUUGUUUAUGCUACAUAUUUUGGCCCUUAUUCCCAUACUUUCCAAUACUACAUAACUCCUAAAUAUGAUACACACACAUUUUUCUUCCUGCUGACGUAACUGACAAGCUCUCCCUUGCAAAAUCCUUUGACGACUGUGGUCCUUAUCUGGGUUCUUGUUUGCACUGGUGCCCACUCUCUCCUCUUAAAAUAUGUCUCUCCUUUGUCUGUUUUGCUGUCCCUCUCCACUGGCUCUCCUCCCACCUCUCAGUUCCCCCCUGCCCAUGAAAUACUGGCGUUUUCUGGAAUCCAUCCCUAGUCACUCCUCCUUCCCCUUCUCAGUCUCCCUAGCCGAACUCAACAACACCCUCCGCUUAGUGUUGACCCCUGUAAGUGACUGCUUUCCCCAACUCUCACCAUCUGACCUCUCCCCUGAUCUCCAAAUCCCUAUUCCCCCAACUGAGUAUGUUCCCCAGAUCCUCCACGGACAAUCAAACUCGAACUGCUCGUUAUACUAAACGAGUCACUGUUAUCCCUUCUCCUGGCCUCUGGCUUCCCGGCACACGUUUCCAUACGUGAAUGACACUCUGGCCAUCUUGUGUCAUACAGCAAGAACAUGGGGAUGAGGCAGCCCGUGCUUCUCUCUUCCACGGCUCCCUCCCAUCCAUCCCAUGCCCCUCACUCCACCCAAUCAUCACCACGUUCUUGUGUCUCCACUGCCUUCCUACCUCCCAAAGGCCUGAGUCAAGGCAAUGAGGACGGAGCAGCUGGCCAUACAUGGAAAAUCAGUGUUAACUUGCCAAAGGUAAAGAGUAACCUAAAAUCUUCAAUGAAAUAAGACUACAUUAUAAAUUUAAAUGUCAAAAAUUAAGAUAUAUAUAAUCGUAUGCCUAAUUUGUCUAAAUACACACUUCAAAACCAGUUUUUCAAUUAAAAAUGGAAACUGAUCAUCAGUAAUUUGGCUCAAUAUUAAAGAGUUUAAGGCAAAAAUCAGACUACAUAGUAAUGAAAAGAUUACACAUUUCAGUCUUUAUAUUAACUAGCAUGGAGAAGCCCCAAAUCACACGUGAAUGCGGUUGGAAAGCAUAAAACCGUUUAACCAUCUUCUCUGAUAAGUUUUUGACACUGACCAUGAAGCGGCUGACUUCUGUUCAACAAGUUUUGUUACCUGAGGUAAACCUCGUGGCCGGUUUUUACUCUGAAUAUGCCACAUAUUUAGUAAGAUAUACUGCCCUCUUCUUGGGAAAAGUACCCAUGAGGAUCCUGUGUCAGGCUUUCAAGUCUCUCUUCAAAAUGCUUAAAAUAUUUUCCGUAAAAUCAGAAGAGUUCACCUGGGUGGUCAGCUGAGCGAAAGAAUCCAGUUCACCUUAACCUUGGUGCGUAGUCCCUCCGUCCAGCUUCGUAACCACCUCUUUGACAAUCCUCCUUACACUGAAGAUCUGUCUUUGCAAAUUAGCACAUGGCGCGGCUGUAUUCAUUCACGUAAAGACCCUAAAGCUAUGCUCACAAGGCUUCGAGUCAUUAAAGAUAGCACCAAAAUAUGACCUUUUACAAAGCCAGGGGCAGCUAGGCACGCUCUCACAGAGAACAGGCAUCCUCUAGAAAGGCCUAAUACUUUUCUGAGAUCCAAACAGACCAAGACUGAGUUCUCUCCAUGAAAUCCAACAAGCCUCCGAAGGAAACAAUCUGAGUGAGUUGAGUGAAUGAAAAAUCUUGAGUCGCCUCGCCUCUAUAUAGAUUGAGAGGGAAAAGAGUAGAAAGUUGCCUGACUGGCGCAAAUGGUAAUAUCAACAAUUCAUUAAGGAAAUCUUUCCAUUUAUCCUCAGACAUGUCAGGGCUACCCUGUGCACGUGAGACUGAGGAAUGUCUAUUCCCACUGCCCAGCUUCAGUAGGUAGACUGAGUUCUCCACUGGGCCACCGGACAUCAGUCACAACCCGACAUAGUGUCAUAGUUGACUAACCACAGACGACCAGCUAAAAAUCACAGUAUCGGCGGGUUCCUCAGAUUAUUGUGAGUGGUACCAACCUCGUCCUCAGAAAAGGUCAGCAAGAUUGUUACCGCCCAUCAUUUUAUAACGGAAAAUACUGUAGCUUUGUGUUGACCAAUUCCUUGAAGCAUCCUGCCACGAGGUGACCAGUGGGCUUGGCCGGGGUAGCAAUUAUUUUCACGGUUACUCCUCAUCCCGUGACAAGAUCGGAAGAUCACGGGAGCUGUAAACCCACUUUCUGAGCGCAAAUAAUCUGCAACAGAGAGUAAUAUCCUAAAAGUUAAACACACGGGGCCACACAGAAAUGGCCUCUCCACUAUGUAUUUCCAACCCGGUGACACAUUCACCCAGGACAGGCCCUGGCAUCGAUCUGUAAGUCUUCAUUUCUGUUGCACUUUUUACUUAGAAGACCAACAGGAAUACAAGUCCUCAUGUUUUCUCCUGAUGCUCCAGUAAAUCGCUGUGGGCUCUCACUGCGGUGUGCCCAACUAGCUCAACUAUUCCUACUCCUCAACAACGUCCUUUCCGUCUCCUGGCCUUCUUGGAGGCCGUCCUGUUUCCCGGAGAUGCCUGUGGUCCCUCUAUCCUCCUAAAACCUCUCACUCAUCCUUCCAGAUUCCAACUGUGGUCAGUCCUCUGACAAGCUUUCCACCUUCUCCCUCCCUCAGCCCUUCUGUUCUCCUGCGGCGUGAGAAGCCCUUGUUUUGCUCCGAUUACAGCACUCACCACAUUGUAACACAACGUAAUAUGGCACAGAGAUUCCCGCUGCUUCCCUGGCUUGUUUGCCCCUUGAGACCAAGGACCGUUUUGUGCGCUGAACCCAUGUGCUCUGAGCACCUGCUCUGUGCUCAUAAAGGCCAGAAGUUCUGGGAUAACAAAAUAACAGCAGUAAGAACAAAACGUUCUGUCACCAAGGAGCCUGCACCCUAAUGGGAAGAGAUAACAAUAAACAAAGAGAGCUGCAAGUUAUAGAGGACGUGAAAUAGUGAUGUGUGUGAUGCGAGAAAAUAAAGCCAGGGACAAACACUGAGGCCGAUGGUUUGCGAUUUAAAAUGGGGUAGCCAGGGACAGCUUCACUCUACUCAUCAGUGAUGCCUCGUGCCUUUCCAGAAGUAGGCCCUCAAUAAAUGUGUGCCGUGCUGUGCUAAUUUUAGACCCUCUUCAGUGCUGCAGUCCUAGCAGGAAUGCAACAAAUGCCACGGAUACAUAAAGUGGAUUUUGGUCGUAAAGGAACUGCUACCAUAUCUACGUCGUUUUCCCCCAGAUCCAUUUUACAGCUAAGGGAUAGUAAAUGCUGCCUUAUGUUUGCACAGGACUUGACAGUUUAUGGAGUGUCCAAGGUCAGAGGUGAGCAAGGCAGGAGUUAUCAUCGUUAAAGAUGCAGAAAUGAAGGCCCAAAGGCAGUAAGUGACUUGCCCAAUGUUGAAGA